rnacentral:rRNA from 1 species
UACGGAGGGGGCAAGCGUUGUUCGGAGUUACGGGGCGUAAAGGGCGCGUAGGCGGCGCAUCAAGUCAGGCGUGAAAGCCCCGGGCUUAACCUGGGAAUUGCGCUUGAUACUGAUGUGCUAGAGAGCGGGAGAGGAUGGCGGAAUUCCCAGUGUAGAGGUGAAAUUCGUAGAUAUUGGGAAGAACACCGGUGGCGAAGGCGGCCAUCUGGACCGUUUCUGACGCUGAGGCGCGAAAGCGUGGGGAGCAAACAGG